rnacentral:tRNA from 7 species
GGUGGGGUUCCCGAGCGGCCAAAGGGAGCAGAAUGUAAAUCUGCCGUCAUCGACUUCGAAGGUUCGAAUCCUUCCCCCACCACCA